rnacentral:rRNA from 1 species
UUCGCAAUGCCCGAAAGGGUGAACGAGCGACGCCGCGUGCGGGAUGAAGGCCUUCGGGUUGUAAACCGCUUUUCUUAAGGAAAAACUUAAUGAUGGUACUUAAGGAAUAAGAGGUUACUAACUCUGUGCCAGCAGUAGCGGUAGUACAGAGACCUCAAGCGUUAUCCGGAUUUAUUGGGCGUAAAGCGCGUGUAGGCGGAUGGGAACGUCGGUCUUUGAAAGCCCCCGGCUCAACCGGGGAAGCGGAGCCGAAACGACCGAUCUGGAGGGACGUAGGGGGACCUGGAACUUCCGGUGGAGCGGUGAAAUGCGUUGAGAUCGGAAGGAACGCCCGUGGCGAAAGCGAGGUCCUGGACGUCUGCUGACGCUGAGACGCGAAAGCUAGGGGAGCAAACGGGAUUAGAUACCCCGGUAGUCCUAGCCGUAAACGAUGGGCACUAAGUAGAGGGGUUUU